rnacentral:RNase_P_RNA from 1 species
ACGAUCAGAAGCUUGCGUCAGGGGCGAAUCAGAUUAUUAGGUUUGAGUAAAAUCAUUUUCUAAUCUUCGGUAUUAUUUUUACACCCUUGGAGAAGGUCUGAGAUAAACCAACUGCUUUGCAUAUUUUAAUCUGGGUAACUCGAUUUUUUUGUGUUAAGUUGCUCUUGCUGAGCGCUCCGUUAAAAAUUCAGCUUGUUGUUUCCUUGGUUUCAAUAAGUUGCAGCGGAGCGGGAGUUACCAGAAAUUUGGCCGAAAGGAUUUGUUGUGCGUGUCAAUAAAACGACGCGUAUAAUUCUCCUGGAGGUUUUGGAAAAGGCUCCCUGGUGGUUAGUUCAUUUGCAGUAUUCUAUCAUCUAUCAGGUGAUAUGGUAGGUCAAAUGAAUAUUAUGUAGUGCGAUACGCGAGGCGAGAUUUGCUACUAUUCUUAAGGGAACAGUUUCUCGUAACUCAAUUCAGACUACUCUUUGGUCGU